GCCAAAAUGGUGUGAUGGUUUGAGUGUUGGAUUGUGACUCUGGAGACCAGGGUUCAAACCCCUGCUCAGCCA